CGAAUAAAUUAAAUCUUAAAUGCGUUCACAUGCCGAGUAGUGCAAAAUAAAAUUCAACUACGGAUGAGUGACCCAACGGCUGAUAUUCACGUGUAAAAUCGAGAAGGCAAGAGCGACAAAAAGGAGGAGAGAAGGAAAAAGACGGACGAGUCGGUCACCUGGGGAAAUUAACGUAACAAGUUUCUGUACGCAUAAUUAAACCCUCCCGUACUCUGCGGUAUAGACGCAGCAAUCAAGCGAACGGCGUGAUUUAAGUGUUAAUAUUCGUCCAAGACUCGCCUCGGACUCUCCAGGAUUUAAAUCCCGCGAGAAAUGCUUGAGAAUGUCCGAGGAAUAACUUCUUUUCGUUAUUCUUUAGACGGAGAAAUAUAUCUGCAGCCGGGGACGAUGAAAUCCCGAUGCAGCAAUAAGCUAUCCGUUAAACAGAUGAACUGCAGGAAUGUCGAUACUUCGAAAAACGUCGGAUUGUCCGGACGAUGAAAUUUUCCCACCUUGUGGAAAAUCUGAGGCGAGAGGAAGGCUUUGCAUCGUUGGAUUCCGACCUCCCGGAGAGAAUUCAUAAUAUUGGACUAGAACCGAUGAAAAGCAGAGAGGAAGUAGUGAAAACAAAUCCAGACUGGUAUCUGCAAUCGGGAAAAUCUUU